rnacentral:pre_miRNA from 1 species
UCGUCUCUUAAUAAAAUUUGCGAAAAUGGUAGAAAUAGGGGUUCCUUGCGGCCCAAAACAGUUGGCUAACUCUGCUCUUCUCUCUAUGUUUUGGACUGAAGGGAGCUCCUAAUUCUUCUCUUU